rnacentral:rRNA from 1 species
AGAGUUUGAUCCUGGCUCAGGAUGAACGCUGGCGGCAUGGCUAAGGCAUGCAAGUCGAAAGUUCGGGUAUUUAUAUCCGAACUUGGCAAACGGGAGAGUAACACAUUGGUAACCUGCCCCCGAUUCGAGAAUAACUUUGAGAAAUCGAAGAUAAUACUCGAUGGUCUUUUCUUAAUAUAUAUUAAGAAAAGUAAAGGUCCGCCGAUCGGGGAGGGGCCUAUGGCUUAUCAGCUUGUUGGUGAGGUAAUGGCUCACCAAGGCGACGACGAGUAGCGGGUGUGAGAGCAUGGCCCGUCUCACUGGGACUGAGACACUGCCCAGACUCCUACGGGAGGCUGCAGUCACGAAUCUUCCACAAUGCCCGAAAGGGUGAUGGAGCAAUGCCGCGUGUAUGAAGAAGCCCUUCGGGGUGUAAAAUACUUUUAUUAGGGACGAAUCAAUGACGGUACCUAAUGAAUAAGGGGCUGCUAACCUCGUGCCAGCAGCAGCGGUAAUACGAGGGCCCCGAGCGUUAUCCGGAUUCAUUGGGCGUAAAGGGUCCGUAGGCGGUUUUGUACAUCUUCUGUUAAUUCUAUCGGCUCAACCGAUAGGACCGCGGAAGAGAUGGCAAGAACUAGAGGCCGGAAGAGGCAGACGGAAUUGUCGGUGUAGGGGUUAAAUCCGUUAAUAUCGACAGGAACACCCAAAUGCGAAGGCAGCUUGCUAGAACGAGCCUGACGCUAAGGGACGAAAGCGUGGGGAGAGAAUGGGAUUAGAUACCCCAGUAUUCCACGCCGUAAACGAUGGAUGCUAAACAUUGGAAGUAUCGACCCUUCCAGUGUUGUUCACUUAAGACUAACGCCUUAAGCAUCCCGCCUGGGGAGUACGAGACGCAAGCUUAAAACUCAAAGGAAUAGACGGGGACCCGCACAAGCGGUGGAGCAUGUGGUUUAAUUCGAUGAUACGACGAGGAACCUCACCAAGGUUUGACAUCUAGCUGCAGACCCCCGGAAACGGGGGAGCCUUCGAGGGGUGCUAGACAGGCGCUGCAUGGUUGCCGUCAGCUCGUGUCGUGAGAUGUACCGUUUAAGUCGGGGAAACGAGCGCAACCCCUAUCUUGUGGUUUCAUGUGUCACAAGAGACUGCCUGCUUUAAGUGGGAGGAAGGUGGGGAUGACGUCAAAUCAGCAUGGUCCUUACACCUUGGGCGACACACGUGCUACAAUGGGAAGUACAAAGGGACGCCAAGCGGUAACGCGGAGCAAAUCCCCCAAAACUUCCCCCAGUUCGGAUUGAGGUCUGCAACUCGACCUCAUGAAGUCGGAAUCGCUAGUAAACGCGCAUCAGCCACGGCGCGUUGAAUACGUUCUCGGGUCUUGUACUCACCGCCCGUCACACCAGGAGAGUCGGUAAUACCCGAAGGCUGCGCCUAGCGCGGACGAAGGUAGGACCGAUAAUAAGGGUGAAGUCGUAACAAGGUAACC